AAAAUUCAAAUUUAGGCUAUAUUCACUUAUUAGUAAAUUUUGAAGCUUAAUCCAACGCACUCUUUAUUGUUUGAUCGACAAACUACAUCAGAAGAAAUCCAGAAAUUGACAGAAGAGAGAGAGCAUUUUAUAUGCGUUUCUUAGAGAAUUCACAAUUUAAUAUUUGUAGUGAUUAAUUUGAUUUCCUCCAAGAUCAGUAUCAUAUCAAAGAGAAUCAUUUAGGAUUUUGCGGCGUCGCUCAUUGUGCAUCGCCAAGCGCCCACGGCAACUUCUUUUGACUUCAUCAAAUUCUGAUACCUCAUGAAACCUGCGGGAUGGAAUCCGAAACGUUGUUGGAGCCCAGCUACAAGAACUGCAGGAGCCUUGGAGUGAAACUCACAGACUUUGUGCCGGCGAUGAUAUGGUCUAGCACCAGCCAUAUCCACAGUACAGUCUUGUACCUGACAACAAGGCUGCACGGAACCUCCUGCACUUGAUGCCCUUAUUGUGAAAUUCUGCUACUUCAUCAUACUUUGGAGCUUGUGCAAGGUUUGGUGACGAGGAUGUUGAUGAAGAGGAAUCAGUUUUGAGUUUUGAUGUAUGCUGGUAAGAGUUGUGGGAAGAAUGAAGAUUGAAUAUAAAUUGAGGUUGGAGCUUUUGAGUUAUUGAGUAGGAAUCAAAUUCAAUGUACAAGGAUUAAGGGACAAAGAUAUUGUUUGGUUUUGUUAUGUUGAUAAUAUUGUUUGUUAAAUUUAGAUUUUGCAUUUGAGAA